AUUGAACGCUGGCGGCAGGCCUAACACAUGCAAGUCGAGCGGAUGAGUGGAGCUUGCUCCAUGAUUCAGCGGCGGACGGGGGAGGAAUGCCUAGGAAUCUGCCUGGUAGUGGGGGACAACGUUUCGAAAGGAACGCUAAUACCGCAUACGUCCUACGGGAGAAAGUGGGGGAUCUUCGGACCUCAGGCUAUCAGGUGAGCCUAGGUCGGAUUAGCUAGUUGGUGAGGUAAAGGCGCAACAAGGCGACGAGCCGUAACUGGACUGAGAGGCUGUUCGGUCACACUGGAACUGAGACACGGUCCAGACUCCUACGGGAGGCAGCAGUGGGGAAUAUUGGACAAUGGGCGAAAGCCUGAUCCAGCCAUGCCGCGUGUGUGAAGAAGGUCUUCGGAUUGUAAAGCACUUUAAGUUGGGAGGAAGGGCAGUAAGUUAAUACCUUGCUGUUUUGACGUUACCAACAGAAUAAGCACCGGCUAACUUCGUGCCAGCCGCCGCGGUAACAC
rnacentral:rRNA from 1 species